GACGAACGCUGGCGGCGUGCUUAACACAUGCAAGUCGAACGGAAAGGCCCUGCUUUUGUGGGGUGCUCGAGUGGCGAACGGGUGAGUAACACGUGAGUAACCUGCCCUUGACUUUGGGAUAACUUCAGGAAACUGGGGCUAAUACCGGAUAGGAGCUCUUGCUGCAUGGUGGGGGCUGGAAAGUUUCGGCGGUUGGGGAUGGACUCGCGGCUUAUCAGCUUGUUGGUGGGGUAGUGGCUUACCAAGGCUUUGACGGGUAGCCGGCCUGAGAGGGUGACCGGCCACAUUGGGACUGAGAUACGGCCCAGACUCCUACGGGAGGCAGCAGUGGGGAAUAUUGCACAAUGGGCGGAAGCCUGAUGCAGCAACGCCGCGUGCGGGAUGACGGCCUUCGGGUUGUAAACCGCUUUCGCCUGUGACGAAGCGUGAGUGACGGUAAUGGGUAAAGAAGCACCAGCUAACUACGUG
rnacentral:rRNA from 1 species